UCCCGCUGCCCUCCUUGGGCGUUUCCUCCCUAGACUUACGGCCGCUCCUCGGAGCGGCCUUUUUUUUGGCCGCA
rnacentral:sRNA from 1 species